UAUUCUGCAUAUUAGGUCGACAGUGAUAAAAUAAUAUCUGAUUUGGUAUGCAUGUAAGCAUACAGAUAUAUUAAUAUACAUCUGACGGGAUGGUGAUAAUCCAUACUGCUGGAAUAAGGAUAAAUUUAUGACGAAAAGCCUGUUAACUUUGAUUAAACUACGGUAUUCGGACAGUGGUGAGUGGCGGCUUCACGGUAGUGUAAGGAGCUAACUUAAAGCUUCGAAUUUUUUGCAACUGUGAGGCAUCCCUAGGAGGUAACUGAUAUAUGGAAGGACAUUGAGAUUGGAAUAUAUAAGACCUACACUAGAACAACCUUACCAUGCUGGAGGAGAGGCCCAAUAUCCGCCGACGUGUUGGAUCUGCACGUUCAGGAUUGUCAAGAGUUGGAUCAGCCCGGCCAAGUAGUGGUCGAGUCAGUUCUGCAAGGCCUUCCUCUGACACUCGCCGUCCCAAAUUGCACACUGGUCGGCCAUCUUCAGCACCAGCUCCUAGUAGGCCUUCCUCUGCCCCUCCUCCAGGACGGACUGGGCCCUACCCAGUCAACAGGACUUGUGUUGGGUCUAGCUCUAUCAAGUCUCAUGAUGUAUCACACUUGAACCUAAAGGUGGAAGGGAAGUCGAUUAGGUCUGUGGCCUACACACCACGACGGCAUCAGCCAGUAAGCCGGGGGUCCCUGCGAGUGAUCUCUAGUCACGGGUAUUCUGCAGGAGGAAAGAGAAAACAAUUUUUUUCAAGCCACAAGUCAGGAUCACUUGAGAAACAUGAAUUGGGCAGUGACUCCGAGUCUAGUGGAAUGGGUUUUGGCAGCACUUACACGCUGCCAUUACCAGUGAAUCAGCCUAUAAUAUAUGGAAGUGCUCUGUCGUUUGAACACCCAUAUGCAGACAAGACUGGAGUGGGUUAUGACGCCACGCUUGAAAGAGAUGAAGAAAGGUCGUACAUAGAGAAUAAACUUGGAAGCACAUAUACUCUGAAAAAUACUGUCAGUGUGACUAGUGGUGAGGAAUUUGAGUUCCCUGAUAGGCCAGUGAGAAGAUCUCUUGAAGCGGGAGCAGAGAGAUCAGACAAUCUUUAUCAUCUUCAUAACAGCAGCUAUUUCAACCAGGCAACUGUGGACCAAAGGAAUUUUUCCUCAGACAGAACUGCUGUAAGUGAUAUCCAGAGAGAGUUCAAUGAUUCAGCUUAUAAUAGAAGGUCACAGUUACUUAGCAGUAGAUGUGGGGAUGUAAGGAUAAAGGGCAACAGUUCUCAUGAUGUGCAUCAUAAUGGGGUGAGCUUAUUGAAGAGGGACACGGACACAACUUCUAAUGAUGGCUCAGAAUGUACUGUCAUGAGCCUGGGGCGGAAAAUACAAAUUAUGGCAAGUGCUCAACCAAGCAGACAAUUAGAUCAUGAUAAUAAGGAUGAAAACUGGGACACUGAAUGGAAACAGUUACUUAAGCAGAACCAUGAGUUACUUUUAAGGUUGUCUAGCAGAGAAGAUCUCCGGUCCCCUGAUAACACCCCAGGGUAUGACUAUGAAAAGACAGUGUUGGUUCAUGACAGUGGAGUCCAGACUAGUUUUAUUAAAGAUGCAGAUGAAAAGGGAUCCUUGGAUUGUACUGCAGGUGUAAAAUCUCCUGAACCGGUCAUAUAUUCUGAAUAUGAUGGUGGAGAUGAGCGGUUGCAUUUUCAUAUGGAAGAUAAAAAUCCAGACGAUAAUGAAAGAAGAGAAUCGUAUACAAAUUCAGAAAGCCCUGAGUGUGUCCUCGAAGAUAUCAUUGAAGAAUCAAGUUUAAGUGAUAAAUCAACUCCCAGGAGAUUAGUUAAUAAUUCAGAUGCCAUGGAGGAAACUCAUAAAAAUCCUAACGGGGAUCCAAACCCUAAUGAAAACCUCGUUCAGUCAAGUCCAGAAGAUGUUUCUGAGAGUCGAGAAAUACCGCAGUCUGAAAGCUCUGAAUAUGUGAGUAAAACGUCAGUUGAAAGUCCUGAAAAUCCUCCUCUCACAUUAUUCUCCAGCUCUGCAAAUAUUUCUUGUGCAACUGACCUUCCAACUUAUCGCACAGGUUCAGCCAUAACUUAUGUUGUACGGAGUCGAUUUUCCAGAGAAAGAAUGAAACCUCAGUCUUCAAAAGAUCUACUGGAGGCUCUACAAAUGAUUGAGGAUGAAGAAAAGAAAGAUUCAGAAUCACACGAAACGAAGGACUCUCCAGCAAUCAAAUUAGACGGUGGUACCAGAGAAGAACCUUCAGUGUUUGUCCUUGGUGAUGGCGUUUCUAUGAGUCAUUCGUAUGAGUCCACUGCAUAUGAGGUUGACAGUGGUGCAAAACCUUCCAGCUCAGUUCACAGGACUGUUGGCAGCAAAUCUCUUGAUCUCAAAAAGUCAAGUGUCUCCUUGAUGUCAAAUGAGUGUGAAGCAACACUCCCUGUUCUGCAGGUGUUGGUGGAGAAGGUAUUCCUCUUCACGCAAGACUUGGCUGAACGCUGGAAACAAGGAAAUGCUGAUGAUUGUCGCGAUGAUCUGCUCUACCAACUAGCAGAGGCUGAGAGACUCCUGGAGCAUAUCUGCAUCCAAGAGGGAAGAAAAGAGGACCCCAAGAAAUGUCCUGACCUCCAUACCAAGUGUGAGGAGAAAAUUCGCAAGAAGCAGGAGGAAUCUGAGGCUAGGAUACAGAAAAAUAUUGAGCUAAUACGUAAGUUGAUGGAUGAUAAAAAGCUACUGACGGAGCAGUGUGAACGGAUGCACCGGACUGAGAGACUCGCAGAGAAGAAACAUGCAGAUAAGAUUAAACUUCUUGAGGAAAGACAUUCUCAAGAAAUGAAAAAUUCAAGAGAAAGAGUUCUUGCAUCUGAACAGGAGAAGCGAGAAAAAUGGACCCAGCAGAAGACCAAAGUCAUCAAGGAAACUACAUAUCGAGGACUGGAGACCAAGAUGAAGGACCUGAGUGCCAAACAUAGAGAUGAGGUUAGCCAAUUGAAGGCCCAGCAUUGGGAAGCAAUGAAGGAAACUGAGGAAAAAUUUGUGAGUCAGUUGCGUGCCCAAGAGGAUGAAUUAAAAAAGAAAUAUGAACAGGAGAAAGAAGAGGCAUGCAAGAGGGAGAGGGAACGGGAACAACAGAGAUUGGAAGUGGAGUUGCGACAGAGUGAACAGUUAGCUCUGAGUCGUAUGGAAACAGUUCGCAAGCAGCAUGAGAGAGAUCUGAAGUCACUCAUUGAAGAACAUCAUCGUACUCAAGAAAGAAUUCGCUCCGAAAAUGAGGCUGCAUCGAGAGAUGCUACCAAGGAGAAGGAACGACUUAAAGACGAAUAUGAGAACAAGAUCAGGCUGUUAAUUCGAAGUCAUGAGGAUGAUACAGCUGUUCUUCGCCAAAAAGAUGAAAAGAGUCGAUCUGAGUGGCGGGAACAGUUUUUGAAGGAACACAACGAGGCCCGGUUGCAAGCUGAAAGGGAGCUGCGAGAGAGACUCAAACGACAACGUGACAAAGAGAUUGAGCGAGCGAUAAAGGAGAUCCAGCUGGAGACUAGUACUCGUGAGGAGCAGGACCACAGGGCCUUUGAGAUGAAGAUUAAGAACUUGAGAGAAAGAUAUGAAAAUGAACUAAAUGAGUUGGAAGCAAGUGAGCGAGGUGCCAGAAGCAGAUAUUUAGAAAUGAAGUCCAUUCUGGCCCAGAAAGAGGAAGAGAUUGUGUACUUUAGAGCUCGCCUUCAUACACAAGACCUGGAACUGUGUGAAUUACAACAUAUGUUUCGUCCGCCAGAUGACUAAUUCACUUUAGUUUCAACUGGAUGCAUACAACAUUGUCUGCCAUAGUAUCCGCAGAUUUUUCUUGGCUACCUGUUUAAGGUUGGCCAUAUUUAAAAUAAAAGAAUACGAUAACUUUAGUAUGGUGGUAGAGUAUAAAAUUAAAUGGUGCUAUUAAAAUAGAUGUGACAAACUGGAUGAAUCUGAUGUCCUUGAUCACCAGAAUAAGACAAACCUGAUCCCCUUGUUAAUCACAGUACAGUAAGUGGUUAGGGAUGUUAGAGCCAUUAGGUUAAAUAGAAUUGUAAUGGGGUUUCAACUUUAUUAUUAUUGGCUCUGGUGUGAGACCAUGUGUUGUAAAGCUGUUUGAUGGUACAGGUUGACAACCCUUUAUCCGAAAUUCUGAAAACCGAAAGUUUUUUGUGGAGCUUUUUUUUUUUUUACAGGGAUUAG
rnacentral:misc_RNA from 1 species